UACGUAGGUGGCGAGCGUUGUCCGGAUUUACUGGGCGUAAAGAGCGCGCAGGCGGUCGUUCAAGUCGCGUGUGAAAGCCCCCGGCUCAACUGGGGAGGGUCACGCGAUACUGAUCGACUCGAAGGCAGGAGAGGGUAGUGGAAUUCCCGGUGUAGUGGUGAAAUGCGUAGAUAUCUGGAGGAACACCGGUGGCGAAGGCGGCAUCCUGGACCAACACUGACGCUGAGGAGCGAAAGCCAGGGGAGCAAACGGG
rnacentral:rRNA from 1 species